GUAAUAGCACCCAGCAUUCCUUGUGAACCACCCAGUUCCUCCUGGGCGGGCACGUGAUCCAGACCCAGCCAAUCCGAGCCCUGUUUACCACUGGCCGUGUGACCCAGAGUCUUGCUCUUGUCGCCCAGGCUGGAGUGCAGUGGCACAAUCUCGACUCACUACAACCUCCACCUCCCUGGUUCAAGCGAUUCUCCUCCCUCAGCCUCCUGAGUAGCUGGGAUUACAGGCAUGCACCACCACGUCCGGCUAAUUUUUAUAUUUUUCCUGGAGAUGGGGUUUCACCACGUUGGCCAGGCUGGUCUCAAAUUCCUGAUCUCGUGAUCCACCCACCUCAGCCUCCCAAAGUUCCGGGAUUACAGGCGUGAGCUACCGCGCCCGGCAAGUAUUUUGUUUUUAAAUUCAGCCUGCUCCUGGAGGUUUUUACUUGGCUUAAAAAUAACAUGAGACUUGAAAGUUCAUUGUCUUAAAAAAUAAAGAAGAAAAGACAAAAUUGUGGCUAAUGGAGGUGCAACCUCCAGACACAAAACUUGGAUUGAUGAUGGUAAAAUCUGAGAGCCUGUGUUGGAAGACAGCAGCCAGGAGCGAGAUGUUGCCCUCUUUAGAUUUCACAUCUUUGCUUCAGUGGUUUUCUUUAAAGGCAAGCAAAGAUGACAAAUGACUGUCUAUUAUUGUUAAAGUUUGUGGACUCUUACAAAAGGAACAGUCGAAUUGAUUCAGCAUCAGCUAAGCGUGGAAGAAAAAAAAAUAUGUAACCGUG